GUUAGGAAUAUUGGACAAUGGGCGCAAGCCUGAUCCAGCCAUGCCGCGUGAGUGAUGAAGGCCUUCGGGUUGUAAAGCUCUUUAGUCCACGAAUAUAAUGACUGUAGUGGAAGAAUAAGCCCCGGCUAACUUCGUGCCAGCAGCCGCGGUAAUACGAAGGGGGCGAGCGCUAUUCGGAAUCACUGGGCGUAAAGCGUGCGUAGGCUGUUUUGUAAGUCAGAAGUGAAAGCCCAGGGCUUAACCCUGGAAUUGCUUUUGAAACUACAAGACUCGAAUUCGGGAGAGGAUAGCGGAAUUGUCAGUGUAGCAGUGAAAUGCGUAGAUAUUGACAGGAACACCAGUGGCGCAAGCGGCUAUCUGGACCGAUAUUGACGCUGAGGCACGAAAGCGUGGGGAGCAAACAGGAUUAGAAACCCGGGUAGUCC
rnacentral:rRNA from 1 species